CCAGUGCUCUCCAUUUAGCAAAAUUGUCCUGCCUCUCCUGAUUUAAACCCAGCCACGUAACGCAAGCAAACGGCAAUCACCUGUGUCUCGUAGACUCACUCACAACCCCAUGUGUAUCCAAUAUCGAAGCGAAGCAGCUGUCGGCAGGCUGACAGUAACCCCUCUCUCUUUCUCUCUAUCAAAUGCUGCGGACUUCUUUCCCAAAUCCGUAAACAUCAAAAUCACCACAGGAAAGGACAGGUCUCCACAGCUGAUGAGAGAGUUCCUGACUCUGGUCCCUGUCUCCAGCUCCAUGUCUCGUCAUCCUGCUACUCUGUCUUGGAUUCCCCACUCUACUACUCCCUUGGACUCCCCUCUGGUUCUGCAACCCACCCGAUCUUCCCCUGGCCUGCUCUCCAUCUUCCCCCUGUGUUUCAAUAAAUACCUUGGUUACUUCA